AACUUCUAGAGUUGGGGUGUAUGGGGCAGUCCUGAGCUGCCUGCAGUGCUGAGAACUGAACUGUGAUCCUCUCGAACAGUAAGCCAGCCCUGAGUUGUUAUACUUUUGUUCUCUCAGAAAAAGAUUUUAAAGCCACCUGCCUAAGAUUUCUCUGGUACUCUUAUUAAGUAUCUGAUUUAAAAAGCUUUCGAUUAAUUAAUAAGUUUACCAGUAAGAAUGACACAAUUAAGCUAAUUAGUCGUAAGCUAAUCAACAGUUAAUUAAUAAUGAAUGUUUUUUGAGACACAGUGUCAUUGUGUGCCCAAGGCUGGACUGGAACUCAUAAUCCUCCUGUCUCAGUCUUUCCAUUGUUGGGACUCCGUUUUCGCUUUUUUAAAAAAUUGCAUAUAUUAACUCAUUAAUUAAUUAAUGUCUCUCUUGGAGUUCAAACGUGUCUCCAGACUUCCUAAGCAGCUGCUCUUCCUCUCCGAGCCAUCUAGUUAGCCUGUGUUUUUCCAAUUCUCGAGCACUUCUUUCAUCAAGCACUGCAUCCAUCUUGGCAUUUACUACAGGGAGGAAGGUUUCACUGGGUCACGGAGGUGUUGAAGUUCUCUCAGUUUUGGUCCGAUUAACUAUUUCUUUUUUUUUCCUCAGGGACGACCUGGCCCAGCUGCCAUUCCUCACCAUGUGCAUUAAGGAGAGCCUGCGACUGCAUCCUCCGGCCACGGCAAUCUCCCGCUGCUGCACUCAAGACAUUAUGCUCCCAGAUGGCCGGGUCAUCC
rnacentral:lncRNA from 1 species